rnacentral:rRNA from 1 species
UACGUAGGGUGCGAGCGUUAAUCGGAAUUACUGGGCGUAAAGCGUGCGCAGGCGGUUUUGUAAGCCAGAUGUGAAAUCCCCGGGCUUAACCUGGGAAUGGCAUUUGGGACUGCAAGGCUUGAGUGCGGCAGAGGAGACUGGAAUUCCUGGUGUAGCAGUGAAAUGCGUAGAUAUCAGGAGGAAUACCGAUGGCGAAGGCAGGUCUCUGGGCUGACACUGACGCUCAUGCACGAAAGCUAGGGGAGCAAACGGG